rnacentral:rRNA from 1 species
CCUACGGGUGGCUGCAGUGAGGAAUCUUGCGCAAUGGGGGAAACCCUGACGCAGCAACGCCGCGUGAGUGAGGAAGGUUUUCGAAUCGUCAAGCUCUGUCAGGUGGAAAGAAAUGUCUGGAUGUUAAUAGCCUCCAGACUUGACGGUACCACCAGAGGAAGCACCGGCUAACUCCGUGCCAGCAGCCGCGGUAAUACGGUGGGUGCAAGCGUUGUUCGGGAUCAUUGGGCGUAAUUGGCAAGUAAGCGGCGGAAGCCCUGGGCUUAACCCAGGAAGUGCAUUUGAAACUGUCUGGCUAGAGUAAGGAAGAGGAAAGCGGAAUUCCUGGUGUAGAGGUGAAAUUCGUAGAUAUCAGGAGGAACACCGGUGGCGAAGGCGGCUUUCUGGUCCUAUACUGACGCUGAGACGCGAGAGCGUGGGUAGCAAACAGGAUUAGAUACCCUAGUAGUC